rfam:Corchorus capsularis cultivar CVL-1 contig12835, whole genome shotgun sequence.
GAGAUUCAGAAGGAGCUCCCUUCGGUUCAAAACAUGGGAUAAGAGAGGGCUUGAAACGGCUGCUGGUUCAUGGAUACCUUUGGGUUGCUAUGAGUGUGUUCUAAAACGCAGCUUGAAGGUUUGCAUGACUCAGGAGACGUGCUUGCCUUCCUAUUUCUUUGUUUGGAUUGAAGGGAGCUCCACCAUUUUUCCUU